rnacentral:rRNA from 1 species
GAUCAUGGCUCAGAUUGAACGCUGGCGGCAUGCCUUACACAUGCAAGUCGAACGGUAACAGGCCGCAAGGUGCUGACGAGUGGCGAACGGGUGAGUAACGCAUCGGAACGUGCCUGAUAGUGGGGGAUAACUACUCGAAAGAGUAGCUAAUACCGCAUAAGAUCUCAGGAUGAAAGCAGGGGACCGCAAGGCCUUGCGCUAACAGAGCGGCCGAUGGCAGAUUAGGUAGUUGGUGGGAUAAAAGCUUACCAAGCCGACGAUCUGUAGCUGGUCUGAGAGGACGACCAGCCACACUGGGACUGAGACACGGCCCAGACUCCUACGGGAGGCAGCAGUGGGGAAUUUUGGACAAUGGGCGCAAGCCUGAUCCAGCAAUGCCGCGUGCAGGAUGAAGGCCUUCGGGUUGUAAACUGCUUUUGUACGGAACGAAAAAGCUCUGGUUAAUACCUGGGGCCCAUGACGGUACCGUAAGAAUAAGCACCGGCUAACUACGUG